rnacentral:rRNA from 1 species
GAUCCUGGCUCAGGACGAACGCUGGCGGCGCGCCUAACACAUGCAAGUCGAACGGAGUUAUUAAGACAGAAGCCUUCGGGUGGAAGAUUUAGUAACUUAGUGGCGGACGGGUGAGUAACACGUGAGGAACCUGCCUUGCAGAGGGGGAUAACAUCUGGAAACGGAUGCUAAUACCGCAUGACACCAUUGGGGGGCAUCCCCUGAUGGUCAAAGAUUUAUCGCUGCAAGAUGGCCUCGCGGUCGA